CUCGGCUUAGUGAUGCAACAUCAAUAGCUUAUGCCUAGGUGUUUGCUCCUAACCAAGUAUGGCCAAAAAGGAACUCAUUUGCUGCUAGAAUUUAGGGUCGUGCUUUCCUUCAAAGUCCUAGUUGUUGAAAUAAUUGAAUAUAGAUGUUCUCAGGGCUCUGUACAAAGACCAAGAACCAAGUGCAUCGAAUUUGUUUGAGUGCCUUUGUAGAAAAAAAAGAGAAAUGAUACACCUUAUGUAUAGAUUGCCAUUGCAUGUUAGCUUUCAAAUACAACUCAUUGCAAUUCUAGAUGAAAAUUUUUUAGGGGAUUUGCUGUUGUAUGUGAUGAAAUGCUCUAUCAAACAUUUAUGUGAUGAGAUGUUAAUUUA